CCAGGAUUGUUCCUGUACCAUCAUCUUCUCAUCCAGUGAGUGGCCAUGGGCUUGCCAAAUAUAUCUAUGGAAUUGAAGCCUAGAUCUCCAGUGUCCAUACAGAUCUUCAACCUUUUCCAGUAGUGGCUGAUCAGAUUUCAUGAAGUCCAUAUAAAUUUAAGGGACUGAAACAAUAGAGGGAAUCUUAUGGAAGGCAUUCUGCAUAGGUUUUAGCAUCUUGGAUGCCAGUUAUUGGGACACACAUGUUCACCCUGCCAUUUACUGGAUCAUUAUAAUAGGAAUCAUGAUUAGUUAACUUUAUGACCCUUUGCUUUGGUCUCUGACUGUGUUUGUGAAUUUUCUCCAGUGUUAUGUUUUGGAUCUGUUUUCUAACCCUAGAUUUUGAC